rnacentral:rRNA from 1 species
AGCGGCAGACGGGUGAGUAACGCGUGGGAACAUACCUUUUGGUUCGGAACAACACAGGGAAACUUGUGCUAAUACCGAAUAAGCCCUUACGGGGAAAGAUUUAUCGCCGAAAGAUUGGCCCGCGUCUGAUUAGCUAGUUGGUGAGGUAAUGGCUCACCAAGGCGACGAUCAGUAGCUGGUCUGAGAGGAUGAUCAGCCACAUUGGGACUGAGACACGGCCCAAACUCCUACGGGAGGCAGCAGUGGGGAAUAUUGGACAAUGGGGGCAACCCUGAUCCAGCCAUGCCGCGUGAGUGAUGAAGGCCUUCGGGUUGUAAAGCUCUUUUGGCGGGGACGAUGAUGACGGUACCCGCAGAAUAAGCCCCGGCUAACUUCGUGCCAGCAGCCGCGGUAAGACGAAGGGGGCUAGCGUUGUUCGGAAUUACUGGGCGUAAAGCGAGUGUAGGUGGUUGUCAUAGUCAGGCGUGAAAGCCUUGAGCUCAACUCAAGAAAUGCGCUUGAUACUGGGCAGCUAGAGGACCGGAGAGGAUAGUGGAAUUCCCAGUGUAGUGGUGAAAUACGUAGAGAUUGGGAAGAACACCAGUGGCGAAGGCGGCUAUCUGGACGGUUUCUGACACUAAGACUCGAAAGCGUGGGGAGCAAACAGGAUUAGAUACCCUGGUAGUCCACGCCGU